rnacentral:rRNA from 1 species
GUUAAAACUCAAAUGAAUUGACGGGGGCCCGCACAAGCGGUGGAGCAUGUGGUUUAAUUCGAUGCAACNNGAAGAACCUUNNCAGGCCUUGACAUCCAGAGAAGUCGCUAGAGANAGCUUNGUNCNUUCGGGAACUCUGUGACAGGUGCUGCAUGGCCGUCGUCAGCUNGNGUCGUGAGAUGUUGGGUUAAGUCCCGUAACGAGCGCAACCCUUGUCCUUAGUUGNUAGCAGGUAAAGCUGAGAACUNUAAGGAGACUGCCGGUAACAAACCGGAGGAAGGUGGGGACGACGUCAAGUCAUCAUGGCCCUUNCGGCCUGGGCUACACACGUGCUACAAUGGGCGGUACAAAGGGUAGCCAACCCGCGAGGGGGAGCCAAUCCCAUAAAACCGUUCGUAGUCCGGAUUGGAGUCUGCAACUCGACUCCANGAAGUCGGAAUCGNUAGUAAUCGUGAAUCAGAAUGUCACGGUGAAUACGUUCCCGGGCCUUGUACACACCGCCCGUCACACCAUGGGAGUGGGUUGAAAAAGAAGUGGCUAGUCUAACCUUCGGGAGGACGGUCACCACUUUGUGAUUCAUGACUGGGGNGAAGUCGUAACAAGGUAACCAAGGGC